ACUCACGUGCUAGUUCUUUCCUCCUAUAACUGAAUGAACUCACGUGCUAGUUCUUUCCGUUCUAUUCCCACAGAAACUCCCCAAAAUAGGCCAUUUUCUCUUUUUCCAUUCAUCUCUUUCCUCAACCAUACUCAUAAAUCACCAAGACUCGUUUAUUUGACUGCUCAAACUCGUUCUCUCCCUAACCUCUUCUCUCAGAAACCCUAAACUCGUUCCUUCGCUCAUUCAUUCACUCGUUCUCGCUCCAUAAACAUCUCUCAAUCUUGCUCGUCGUAUCUCUCCGAUCGCCGCCGUGCAUCACUCUCUGAUCUGCGCACUAACAUUUCUGUAUCUACUUUACAAGAAUCUCAACUCUCUUUAACAUAAAUAAACAAGCUCAAUGGACAGUAUGGUUGAUUCUCUAAGUAGUGCCUAUGAAGAUUUUGUUGCUGCAGCAACAACUUUUCUUGAAGCCAAAGAAACAUCCGGUGCCCUUAAAAACGCAGCAACAGAGACAGCCCUUCAAAACUUUAAGCAAAAGUGGGAAUUGUUUAAAGUAGCAUGUGAUCAAGCUGAGGAGUAUGUGUUUUCUGUGAAGAAAAAGAGAAGAUCAGAGUGUUUUCUGCAUAGUCAGACGAGGGUAAAUUGAGGUUAGUCGGGCUAUGAAAAUUUGCUAACUGAUUUUGUAUGUGUACAAUGGAGGCAUAUGAAACACAGUAAUAUGUGAGAAUCAUCUUGAUUGAGUGAUGGAUAGGUAUACUUUUUUUUAACGUGCCAAGGUCUAUGCCCUGGUGCUCUAUUGAUGCUCAGCACACUCUUAGCUAAUAUACAUGUUCCUUUUAAUCCAUCAAAAUUUCAUUUA